UCCCUGGGAGUCCAGUGAUUAGGACUCUCCUCUUUCACUGCUGUAGACCCAAGUUCAAUUCCUGGUCAGGGAA
rnacentral:tRNA from 1 species